GGACUCGUUCAUGGCGGCUAGCGAGAGGAUUAGCCGAGUGGAUGUCGGAGUCGCAGGUGACGCAGAGUGAGGCGGCGUCGGCUUUGCAGGUGACGGCGGCGGGAGCUUGUUCGCAGACUUCACAGAGGUACACGCGCUCGUGACGCGUGAAGGAGUGGAUGCUUGUGUCGCAAGUGAUGCAUAAGAAGGCUGAGUCGAAUCGGCAGUACACGGCGGCGGAAGCUGAUUUACAAGCGUCACAGGAACGCGCCGCCGCGCCCCAGCCGCCGGAGAGUGGUUUGAUGCUCUCUAAGCCGAAUCCCAUUUACUUCUUCUCUCUCUACUCUUUUUU
rnacentral:lncRNA from 1 species